rnacentral:rRNA from 1 species
AACGCACCUUGCGCUCCUUGGUAUUCCUUGGAGCAUGCCUGUUUGAGUGUCAUGUUAAUCUCAAUCUCGCCCAUUUUCUUAAUACAAAGUGGGAUGGGGAUUGGACUUGGAGGUUAUUAAUGCUGGACCCUUUCUCACGAAGGGGGUCGGCUCCUCUUGAAUGCAUUAGCUUGGGCUUUUCGCUCGUUACUGCGGUGUGAUAAAUUUUAUUCACCACGGUUUUUGACUUGCGUGUAAUGUCUGCUUCGAACCUUAUUUUUUAUGUAUAUGUAUAUAUACAUAAGAUUACUUUUUGACCUUUGACCUCAAAUCAGGUAGGACUACCCGCUGAACUUAA